CGUAGGUGAACCUGCGGAAGGAUCAUUGUCGAUACUUGCAA
rnacentral:rRNA from 1 species